rnacentral:rRNA from 1 species
AUUGAACGCUGGCGGCAGGCUUAACACAUGCAAGUCGAGCGAGCGGCGGACGGGUGAGUAAUGUAUGGGGACUGCCCGAUAGCGGGGGAUAACUACUGGAAACGGUGGCUAAUACCGCAUACUAUCGGAUAACCCAUAUUGGAUUAGCUAGUAGGUGGGGUAAAUGCUCACCUAGGCGACGAUCCCUAGCUGGUCUGAGAGGACGAUCAGCCACACUGGGACUGAGACACGGCCCAGACUCCGACGGAGGCAGCAGUGGGGAAUAUUGCACAAUGGGGGAAAGCCUGAUGCAGCCAUGCCGCGUGUAUGAAGAAGGCCUUCGGGUUGUAAAGUACGUUCAGUCGGGAGGCGUUACCGACAGAAGAAGCACCGGCUAACUCCGUGCCAGCAGCCGCGGUAAUUC